UUAAAUUGAAGAGUUUGAUCAUGGCUCAGAUUGAACGCUGGCGGCAGGCCUAACACAUGCAAGUCGAACGGUAACAGGAAGAAGCUUGCUUCUUUGCUGACGAGUGGCGGACGGGUGAGUAAUGUCUGGGAAACUGCCUGAUGGAGGGGGAUAACUACUGGAAACGGUAGCUAAUACCGCAUAACGUC
rnacentral:rRNA from 1 species